rnacentral:rRNA from 1 species
UGCGAGUCAUAUGUUCUUCGUGAACAUGGCGUACUGCUCAGUAACACGUGGAUAACCUGCCCUUGAGACCGGGAUAACCCCGGGAAACUGGGGAUAAUACCGGAUAACGCAUAUCUGCUGGAAUGCUUUAUGCGUAAAAUGGAUUUGUCUGCCCAAGGAUGGGUCUGCGGCCUAUCAGGUAGUAGUGGGUGUAAUGUACCUACUAGCCUACGACGGGUACGGGUUGUGAGAGCAAGAGCCCGGAGAUGGAUUCUGAGACAUGAAUCCAGGCCCUACGGGGCGCAGCAGGCGCGAAAACUUUACAAUGCGGGAAACCGUGAUAAGGGGACACCGAGUGCCAGCAUCAUAUGUUGGCUGUCCAGAUGUGUAAAAUACAUCUGUUAGCAAGGGCCGGGCAAGACCGGUGCCAGCCGCCGCGGUAACACCGGCGGCCCGAGUGGUGAUCGUGAUUAUUGGGUCUAAAGGGUCCGUAGCCGGUUUGGUCAGUCCUCCGGGAAAUCUGACGGCUCAACCGUUAGGCUUUCGGUGGAUACUGCCAGACUUGGAACCGGGAGAGGUAAGAGGUACUACAGGGGUAGGAGUGAAAUCUUGUAAUCCCUGUGAGACCACCUGUGGCGA